UCCCAAUGAAGAAGAUUUUGGUGUUGAGUCUGAUUAAAGUACAUCUUGUUAAGUUUUAUGGUUGGUUUGCAUUAUGAAGUUUUAGCUAUUUUGUUGGAGAAGACACCAUAACUUUGCUAUCAGUUUAAUGAUAAUUUAUUUUUAUUUUCAGUUGUGUUGAGUGUUGAGCUAUUAAACUUCUUUAAUUGUCGUAUUUGAAUUCUAUUGUCGUUAUAUUUCAUUAGAUCAAGACUUUGUUAGCUAUUGUGUAUUUUGGCUUGUUGAUUUCAAUCU